rnacentral:rRNA from 1 species
UACGGGGGGGGCGAACGUUGUUCGGAAUUACUGGGCGUAAAGGGCUCGUAGGCGGCCAACUAAGUCGGACGUGAAAUCCCCAGGCUCAACCUGGGAACUGCGUCCGAUACUGGAUGGCUUGAAUCCGGGAGAGGGAUGCAGAAUUCCAGGUGUAGCGGUGAAAUGCGUAGAUAUCUGGAGGAAUACCGGUGGCGAAGGCGGCAUCCUGGACCGGCAUUGACGCUGAGGAGCGAAAGCCAGGGGAGCAAACGGG